rnacentral:rRNA from 1 species
GUGGGGAAUCUUCCGCAAUGGACGAAAGUCUGACGGAGCAACGCCGCGUGAGUGAUGAAGGUCUUCGGAUUGUAAAGCUCUGUUAAUCGGGACGAAAGAGCCUAGUGUGAAUAAUGCUAGGAAGUGACGGUACCGGAAUAGAAAGCCACGGCUAACUACGUGCCAGCAGCCGCGGUAAUACGUAGGUGGCAAGCGUUGUCCGGAAUUAUUGGGCGUAAAGCGCGCGCAGGCGGAUCUGCCAGUCUGUCUUAAAAGUUCGGGGCUUAACCCCGGGAUGGGAUGGAAACUACAGAUCUAGAGUAUCGGAGAGGAAAGUGGAAUUCCUAGUGUAGCGGUGAAAUGCGUAGAUAUUAGGAAGAACACCAGUGGCGAAGGCGACUUUCUGGACGAAAACUGACGCUGAGGCGCGAAAGCCAGGGGAGCGAACGGGAUUAGAUACCCUUGUAGUCC